UACGUAGGGUGCAAGCGUUGUCCGGAAUUAUUGGGCGUAAAGAGCUCGUAGGCGGUCUGUCGCGUCGAAUGUGAAAACCCGGGACUCAACUCCGGGCCUGCAUUCGAUACGGGCAGACUAGAGUUCGGUUGGGGAGACUGGAAUUCCUGGUGUAGCGGUGAAAUGCGUAGAGAUCCGGAGGAACACCAGUGGCAAAGGCGGCUGGCUGGACCUGACCUGACGCUGAGGCGCGAAGGCGUGGGGAGCGAACGGG
rnacentral:rRNA from 1 species